rnacentral:lncRNA from 1 species
AAACCUAAGCUUCAAGUCGCCAUGACAAAACACACCUUGAAGCUCAGGUUGGCAUGGCCAUCAUUUUUUGUUGUAGAAUUUUCCAUGCGACCAGAUACAAAUUUGCCAAGGUAUGAACAAAUUCCAUGAACUCCCAACAAAUUACUGUGUAAUCGCCAUGUCCAUGAUUUACUGUAUACAAAUUUGCCAUGAUUAAGGAUAGAUUUUGUUAGAAAAUUGCCAUGGGAUUGAAAAAACUUAAUACUAAAUUCUCCAUGGCCCCAUGCUAGAUUGAAUUGAAGAAAAUUUUGAUAGCUAAACUAGGAUGGGCUGAGUGUGUGCCGAACCUGAAAUUACUAGCCCUGUCUGCAACUGCCGCAAACGCCUGCUGUGCCUACCAUGCCUGCUUCCAGUCUGCCUCGCCGCCUCCCGAAGGACCAGUGGCCCUGCGACAGUGACAUGAAUCAAGCGCACCGCUCGAGCUAUUGGCUACUUUUCCCCUGACCUCGUAGUUCACCAUUAAGGAUUCCUCCUCUGAAAAGCUUAGCUGCCGCAAGGAGUAAGAGAGCAGGAAGCUGGAGAAGACGAAAGUAGGAGGUCGUGGCGGGGCCUCGCCGGUCGCACGGCAAGGCAGCGGCUGCUGCAGGGUUGGAGGCGAGCUGCGCAGCUCGGGCGUGGCUGCAGGACCGCUCAGUAUGAACCCUGAAAACCGGCGGUCCGGUGCUCGUCGUCAGCGAGGAGCGCUCGAAUGGAGGCGGCCUCGACGCCUGCCGCAGCGGCACUCGGCUGCGCCCCAAACGAAACGGAGAGCACGGCGUCAAGGUGCCCCGGCGUCGGCGAGGAGCACGAGGAGGGGCCGCCUUGGACGCCUGACGCGGCGGCGCGACCUGACACCUCGAGACGGCUGGCGCUCGGCUACGCCCAAGACGGAACAAAGAGCGCGUCGUCCUGGUGCCUCAGCGUCGGCGAGGAGCACGCGGAGGGGCCGGCCUGGACGCACGCUGCGACGGCCGCGGCGGCAUGGCCUCCGCCUCACUGUCGGGGAGGUGGGACUGGAUAAGCAAGGCAGAAGCUAAUGCGGCGGGGGAGAAGAUAAGGUUCGGGGCGAUGG